UACAGAGGUCUCAAGCGUUGUUCGGAUUCAUUGGGCGUAAAGGGUGCGUAGGCGGCGCGGUAAGUCGGGGUGUGAAAUCUCGGGAGCUUAACUCCGAAACGUGCAUUCGAUACUGCCGGUGCUUGAGGACUGGAGAGGAGACUGAAUUUACGGUGUAGCGGUGAAAUGCGUAGAUAUCGUAAGGAAGACCGAGUGGCGAAGGC
rnacentral:rRNA from 1 species